CAGUCGCCGCGGGAAUACGGAGGGUGCAAGCGUUAAUCGGAAUUACUGGGCGUAAAGCGUGCGUAGGCGGUUCGUUAAGUCUGUUGUGAAAGCCCCGGGCUCAACCUGGGAAUGGCAAUGGAUACUGGCGAGCUAGAGUGUGUCAGAGGAUGGUGGAAUUCCCGGUGUAGCGGUGAAAUGCGUAGAGAUCGGGAGGAACAUCAGUGGCGAAGGCGGCCAUCUGGGACAACACUGACGCUGAGGCACGAAAGCGUGUGGAGCAAACAGGAUUAGAUACCCCAGUAGUCCCUGUCUCUUAUAC
rnacentral:rRNA from 1 species